UACGAAGGGUGCAAACGUUGCUCGGAAUUAUUGGGCGUAAAGCGCACGUAGGCGGCUUUGCAAGUUCGAUGUGAAAUCCCUCGGCUCAACCAAGGAAGUGCAUCGAAAACUGCAGAGCUUGAGUAGUUAAGAGGAUCGCGGAAUUCCCGGUGUAGAGGUGAAAUUCGUAGAUAUCGGGAGGAGCACCAGUGGCGAAGGCGGCGAUCUGGGAACAUACUGACGCUGAGGUGCGAAAGCGUGGGGAGCAAACAGG
rnacentral:rRNA from 1 species